rnacentral:rRNA from 1 species
AUUGAACGCUGGCGGCAGGCUUAACACAUGCAAGUCGAACGAGCGGCGGACGGGUGAGUAAUGUCUGGGAAACUGCCUGAUGGAGGGGGAUAACUACUGGAAACGGUAGCUAAUACCGCAUCCCAUCGGAUGUGCCCAGGUGGGAUUAGCUAGUAGGUGGGGUAACGGCUCACCUAGGCGACGAUCCCUAGCUGGUCUGAGAGGAUGACCAGCCACUCUGGAACGUAGACACGGUCCAGACUCCUACGGGAGGCAGCAGUGUGGAAGAGUGCACAAUGGGCGCAAGCCGGAUGCAGCCAUGGCGCGUGUAUGAAGAAGGCCUUCGGGUUGUAAAGUACUUUCAGCGAGGAGGCGUUACUCGCAGAAGAAGCACCGGCUAACUCCGUGCCAGCAGCCGCGGUAAUUC